rfam:Spinacia oleracea cultivar SynViroflay scaffold15401.con0002.1, whole genome shotgun sequence.
UGGCAAUGAUGAGUAAAAGGCCGGACUUACGGCUGCCCUCAAAUUUGAGCUGGUAGUAGAUUGAUGAUAGAUUCCGAGUAUAGGUUACUCUGAGCGUA